UACGAAGGGUGCUAGCGUUGUUCGGAAUUACUGGGCGUAAAGCGUGCGCAGGCGGUGAUGUAAGACAGUUGUGAAAUCCCCGGGCUCAACCUGGGAACUGCAUCUGUGACUGCAUCGCUGGAGUGCGGCAGAGGGGGAUGGAAUUCCGCGUGUAGCAGUGAAAUGCGUAGAUAUGCGGAGGAACACCGAUGGCGAAGGCAAUCCCCUGGGCCUGCACUGACGCUCAUGCACGAAAGCGUGGGGAGCAAACAGG
rnacentral:rRNA from 1 species